AUUGAACGCUGGCGGCAGGCCUAACACAUGCAAGUCGAGCGAGCGGCGGACGGGUGAGUAAUGCCUAGGAAUCUGCCUGGUAGUGGGGGAUAACGUCCGGAAACGGGCGCUAAUACCGCAUCCCAUCAGAUGUGCCCAGAUGGGAUUAGCUUGUGGGGGGGGUAACGGCUCACCAAGGCGACGAACCCUAGCUGGUCUUAGAGGAUGACCACCCACACGGGACCUACGACAGGGGCAAGACUCCUAGGGGAGGCAGCAGUGGGGAAUAUUGCACAAUGGGCGCAAGCCUGAUGCAGCCAUGCCGCGUGUAUGAAGAAGGCCUUCGGGUUGUAAAGUACUUUCAGCGGGGAGGCGUUACCCGCAGAAGAAGCACCGGCUAACUCCGUGCCAGCCGCCGCGGUAAUU
rnacentral:rRNA from 1 species